rnacentral:rRNA from 1 species
GACGAACGCUGGCGGCGUGCCUAAUACAUGCAAGUAGAACGCUGAAGGAGGAGCUUGCUUCUCUGGAUGAGUUGCGAACGGGUGAGUAACGCGUAGGUAACCUGCCUGGUAGCGGGGGAUAACUAUUGGAAACGAUAGCUAAUACCGCAUAAGAGUAGAUGUCGCAUGACAUUUGCUUAAAAGGUGCAAUUGCAUCACUACCAGAUGGACCUGCGUUGUAUUAGCUAGUUGGUGAGGUAACGGCUCACCAAGGCAACGAUACAUAGCCGACCUGAGAGGGUGAUCGGCCACACUGGGACUGGGACACGGGCCAGACUCCUACGGGAGUGAGCAGUAGGGAAUCUUCGGCAAUGGACGGAAGUCGGACCGAGCAACGCCGCGUGAGUGAAGAAGGUUUUCGGAUCGUAAAGCUCUGUUGUAAGAGAAGAACGAGUGUGAGAGUGGAAAGUUCACACUGUGACGGUAUCUUACCAGAAAGGGACGGCUAACUACGUG